GGCGGCGUGCUUAACACAUGCAAGUCGAGCGGAAAGGCCCUUCGGGGGUACUCGAGCGGCGAACGGGUGAGUAACACGUGAGCAACCUGCCCCUGACUCUGGGAUAAGCCCGGGAAACUGGGUCUAAUACCGGAUAUGACCGCCUCCGGCAUCGGAUGGUGGUGGAAAGUUUUUUCGGUUGGGGAUGGGCUCGCGGCCUAUCAGCUUGUUGGUGGGGUAUUGGCCUACCAAGGCGACGACGGGUAGCCGGCCUGAGAGGGCGACCGGCCACACUGGGACUGAGACACGGCCCAGACUCCUACGGGAGGCAGCAGUGGGGAAUAUUGCGCAAUGGGCGGAAGCCUGACGCAGCGACGCCGCGUGGGGGAUGACGGCCUUCGGGUUGUAAACCUCUUUCAGCAGGGACGAAGUUGACGUGUACCUGCAGAAGAAGCGCCGGCUAACUACGUGCCAGCAGCCGCGGUAAUACGUAGGGCGCAAGCGUUGUCCGGAAUUAUUGGGCGUAAAGAGCUCGUAGGUGGCUGGUCGCGUCUGCCGUGAAAGCGCCCAGCUUAACUGCGGGUCUGCGGUGGAUACGGGCCGGCUAGAGGUAGGCAGGGGCAAGUGGAAUUCCUGGUGUAGCGGUGAAAUGCGCAGAUAUCAGGAGGAACACCGGUGGCGAAGGCGCUUUGCUGGGCCUUACCUGACGCUGAGGAGCGAAAGCGUGGGGAGCGAACAGGAUUAGAUACCCUGGUAGUCCACGCUGUAAACGUUGGGCGCUAGGUGUGGGGGUCUUCCACGAUCUCGUGCCGGAGCUAACGCAUUAAGCGCCCCGCCUGGGGAGUACGGCCGC
rnacentral:rRNA from 1 species